rnacentral:rRNA from 1 species
CCUACGGGCGACAGCAGUGAGGAAUAUUGGUCAAUGGACGAGAGUCUGAACCAGCCAAGUAGCGUGAAGGAUGACUGCCCUAUGGGUUGUAAACUUCUUUUAUAUGGGAAUAAAACGUUCCACGUGUGGGAUUUUGUAUGUACCAUAUGAAUAAGGAUCGGCUAACUCCGUGCCAGCAGCCGCGGUAAUACGGAGGGUCCGAGCGUUAUCCGGAUUUAUUGGGGUUAAAGGGAGCGUAGGUGGAUUGUUAAGUCAGUUGUGAAAGUUUGCGGCUCAACCGUAAAAUUGCAGUUGAAACUGGCAGUCUUGAGUACAGUAGAGGUGGGCGGAAUUCGUGGUGUAGCGGUGAAAUGCGUAGAUAUCACGAAGAACUCCGAUUGCGAAGGCAGUUCACUGGACUGCAACUGACACUGAGGCUCGAAAGUGUGGGUAUCAAACAGGAUUAGAUACCCCAGUAGUC